rnacentral:tRNA from 1 species
GCGGGGUGGAGCAGCCUGGUAGCUCGUCGGGCUCAUAACCCGAAGGUCGUCGGUUCGAAUCCGGCCCCC